rnacentral:rRNA from 1 species
UACGGAGGGUGCAAGCAUUAAUCGGAAUUAUUGGGCGUAAAGGGCGCGUAGGCGGUUUGGAAAGUCAUAUGUGAAAUUCCAAGGCUUAACCUUGGAGCUGCGUGUGAAACUUCCAAACUAGAGGUAAGACGGAGAAAACGGAAUUCCCCAUGUAGCGGUGAAAUGCGUAGAUAUGGGGAGGAACACCGGCGGCGAAAGCGGUUUUCUAGUCUUCACCUGACGCUGAGGCGCGAAAGCGAGGGGAGCAAACAGGAUUAGAUACCCUGGUAGUCCUCGCUGUAAACGAUGCAUACUUGAUGUGAUUGGGCUCAACCCUAAUUGUGUCGAAGCUAACGCGAUAAGUAUGCCGCCUGAGGAGUACGCUCGCAAGGGUGAAACUCAAAAGAAUUGACGGGGGCCCGCACAAGCAGUGGAGCAUGUGGUUUAAUUCGAUGCAACGCGAAGAACCUUACCCAGGCUUGACAUGCAGGUUACGAUAUCAGAGAUGAUAUUCCCCGCAAGGGGACCUGUGCAGGUGCUGCAUGGCUGUCGUCAGCUCGUGCCGUGAGGUGUUGGGUUAAGUCCCGCAACGAGCGCAACCCUUAUCGUUAGUUGCCAACAGGUAAUGCUGGGAACUCUAACGAGACUGCCUAGGUUAACUAGGAGGAAGGUGAGGAUGAGGUCAAGUCAGCAUGGCCCUUAUGUCUGGGGCUACACACGUGCUACAAUGGUAGGUACAGAGGGCAGCUAAGCCGUGAGGUGGAGCAAAUCCCAUAAAGCUUAUCUCAGUUCGGAUUGUAGUCUGCAAUUUGACUACAUGAAGCUGGAAUUGCUAGUAAUGGCGCGUCAGCUAUAGCGCCGUGAAUACGUUCUCGGGCCU